AUACUUACCUUAAGAUGCCAGAGGAGAUCAAGAAGUCCUACUGGCCGGACAUGCACCUUCACGAAGAGGAAUGCUAUGCAUUUAGAUCCAAAUGGAUCAUAUCAUUGAUGUAAGCUUCCUCGGCAAUUGCACAUACAUGCGAAGGGUGUGUCUGCUGACGUCUCGUUUCCUCGUUUCGGGGUUUUCUGGUUUUCUGGGAGACUCUGGGGCCCUUUUUUACUUCUGCCAGGAGAAGGAUGGCACUGAGUACAAUCAGUGCUGAGGGAGCUGGGGUUCAUCAGGUGAGUCUCAAUGAAUUGUUGCCUUUGAAAGGGUUUACCGCGCUCUUCUUAAUCACUGCAGCUGUUGAUUUUCUUAGGCUCCUUUCUUUGAAAGAGGCUUUUGAAAAGGGUUUAGCGGCUGUCAGUGGUUAAGAUGUGGUGGAUUCUUCUGGAGGCGCGUUCAAUUUUUCUUUGAAAGGUUGGACAAAACGCUUUGUUGAGAUGUCCUCUUUAGGGAGGAGAAGCCUGAUGGAUCUUGGUAGAGACGGGUGGGUCUUAUAAUUUUUGAUUUAUCCCUCA
rnacentral:snRNA from 1 species